AUUGAACGCUGGCGGCAGGCCUAACACAUGCAAGUAGAACGAGUGGCGGACGGGUGAGUAAUGUAUGGGAAACUGCCCGAUGGAGGGGGAUAACUACUGGAAACGGUAGCUAAUCCCGCAUACCAUCGGAUGUGCCCAGAUGGGAUUAGCUAGUAGGUGGGGUAACGGCUCACCUAGGCGACGAUCCCUAGCUGGUCUGAGAGGAGGACCAGCCACACGGGAACUGAGAACGGGUCCAGACUCCUACGGGAGGCAGCAGUGGGGAAUAUUGCACAAUGGGGGCAAGCCUGAUGCAGCCAUGCCGCGUGGAUGAAGAAGUCCUUCGGGUUGUAAAGUACUUUCAGCGAGGAGGCGUUACUCGCAGAAGAAGCACCGGCUAACUCCGUGCCAGCAGCCGCGGUAAUUC
rnacentral:rRNA from 1 species